UCUCCGUAGGUGAACCUGCGGAGGGAUCAUUACCGAGUGAGGGCUCACGCCCGACCUCCCACCCUGUGUGAACACAUCUUGUUGCUUCGGGGGCGACCCUGCCGUUCGCGGCGUGGGGCCCCCGGAGCCCAUCAAACCCUGCGUAACCAAGUCGUCGGAGUUUAAACAAAUUAAACAAAACUUUCAACAACGGAUCUCUUGGUUCGGGCAUCGAUGAAGAACGCAGC
rnacentral:misc_RNA from 1 species